UACGUAGGGGGCAAGCGUUGUCCGGAUUUAUUGGGCGUAAAGAGCUCGUAGGCGGUUUGGUAAGUCUGGUGUGAAAUCUCCACGCUCAACGUGGAGGGGCCACCCGAUACUGCCAUGACUGGAGUCCGGUAGAGGAGUGUGGAAUUCCCGGUGUAGCGGUGAAAUGCGCAGAUAUCGGGAGGAACACCCGUAGCGAAGGCGGCACUCUGGGCCGGUACUGACGCUGAGACGCGAAAGCGUGGGGAGCGAACAGG
rnacentral:rRNA from 1 species